rnacentral:rRNA from 1 species
GACGAACGCUGGCGGCGUGCCUAAUACAUGCAAGUAGAACGCUGAAGCGAGGAGCUUGCUCUUCUUGGAUGAGUUGCGAACGGGUGAGUAACGCGUAGGUAACCUGCCUUGUAGCGGGGGAUAACUAUUGGAAACGAUAGCUAAUACCGCAUAACAAUGGAUGACACAUGUCAUUUAUUUGAAAGGGGCAAUUGCUCCACUACAAGAUGGACCUGCGUUGUAUUAGCUAGUAGGUGAGGUAACGGCUCACCUAGGCGACGAUACAUAGCCGACCUGAGAGGGUGAUCGGCCACACUGGGACUGAGACACGGCCCAGACUCCUACGGGAGGCAGCAGUAGGGAAUCUUCGGCAAGGGGGGCAACCCUGACCGAGCAACGCCGCGUGAGGGAAGAAGGGUUUCGGAUCGUAAAGCUCUGUUGUAAGUCAAGAACGAGUGUGAGAGUGGAAAGUUCACACUGUGACGGUAGCUUACCAGAAAGGGACGGCUAACUACGUG